ACUCAUGAUUAGAAAAUCUUGAUUCUCGAUCACAGAGUUCAGACACAUAGGACUCAAAGUCCACGAGCAUUAAGACUCUUCAUCAGUCAUCAGAUCAGAUAGGAACCUCUAAUGUGUGUGACCCCGUAGGUUCGAACCUAAGCCGGUAGCACAUAAAUCAAUUCCUGUACUAAUCGAAGUGACCAUCUAGCAAUGGUAUCCGACAUCCAGAUAGGUCGAAUAGUCACAAUCGCAACACUCAGAACCUACAUAAAUAUGGUUACUGUAUAAUUCAUCCUUUUUGACCCCUGUGUAUAGGACGACUCAGGGUUAAACUGUCAACCCUGAUUAUAUCAUCCGAAUCGUGCUCAACUCAAACAGUCCUGUGACUCCUCACUAGGACUAUUCUGGCCAAGGUUUUGCUAAAUUGAAACAUAACUAUACACAGCUCCUGAAUUGGAGUGGUCAAUUUUAUCUUGACACAUGCAUUGACAAGUCAAGUACUUGACUACAUCCAGCAGCCUUCCAUCACUGAAUUAGAAAUUCAGAUAGUCCAGUGCCUAAGUAUAGUGAGUUGCUUGCAAGUCACCGGGGCGGUC
rnacentral:lncRNA from 1 species